UAAUCAGCUCUUUUCAGAGCUACGAAAUAUUUCAACGUAAAAAUAA
rfam:Trichomalopsis sarcophagae strain Alberta scaffold12994, whole genome shotgun sequence.